rnacentral:lncRNA from 1 species
AUCUUUACACACGGCUCUUCUGUCUGGAGGGAGCCUUAUUUCUCCUUUAUGCACUUUCAGGAACUCUGCUGUUUGCUGAAUUUAUGAAGUGGAGAGAAGGGACCUCGCUGUGCCUGCAGCCAUGUGACCCUCGGAGCUUCCCUCUGCUGCAGGACCAGGGCACUCGACACUGACACCCUCCAUUGCCGAGAGUGUCUCCGGAUGGGACGUGAAGGCAGGCGACAACUGUGAUCUUCCUUUAUGAUUGCAGUCCCCCAUCCGCUCACGGACGCUUGACGCUUUCUUGAGCACCUGGAUGCGGCAGUGACACUUCCAGGCAGGUGCUGUUGGAGCAAAUAAGCAGGUCCAAAUCCCCGCCCGGAGCUGCUGCCCAUGCCGGGGGAGACACUCAGGACACAGACUGGCAGAUAACCUGCGCUGAGGGACUGGAGGAUGGGAAGGGCUCGCUGGGGGAGGUGUACAGCAAGAUGGGCCGGGACCCCGGGGGCAGGAGUGCAGUCGUCAGUAGGACAGCCAAGGCAUCCCUAGAAGCUGGCACUUGGACCAAGCCAGAAGGGAGUGAGGGGUACAGGCAGGCUGACCGCAGGGGCAAGAAAGCAAGCGCCAGGGUCCUGAGGCAGGAUAGGGAGUGGUGGGUGCCCUGGAGUGGUAAGGAUGAGGACAGAGAAGUGGCAGGCCCGUGAGCAUUGCUGAGACCUCUCAGGUCCUCAGGGAGAGGCAGGGGCCAGGGAAGGCCUUGGGGCUGACAAGCACAAGACCCACCUCUCUUGACUCCCUGGAGGAGCCCACCAGGAGGAGAGAAUCUGAGGCAGCCCCAUUCCACCCACACGCCCACCCCCUCCAGCUGACUGCUCUAGCCAGACUGAACUUCUUCCAGCUUCCUGAAUGUUCUCUCCACCGGGGCCCAUGGGCUUCCCUCCUUUCACCCAGUGACUUGCUCUUCUAGAGGCCAGAGGAGCCUCACAAGGGAUGAGCUUGCUGGGCAUGGACAUCCACCGGCUGCACGCAGCAGGGACAGUCCUCCCCAAGAUCAAGAGUUGGGGGUAAGCAGGGACUCCCCCUCUGCAGCCUCAGAACUCAGCUGCUUUCAUCAAACCAACUCUUGCUGCAGGACCAGCACGAGGCCAUCUGUCCAUGGUGGGCCCUCUGGCUUCCAGUUCUUGGCAGGCAUGCUGUCCAGCCAGAACCCCUCUGAGAAAAAGGUCAGUGUGCCUGAAACCCAUCCCACGGCAGAGGGAGAUGGAGGGACUUCAGUCCCAGUCUCGCAUCAUCCCACUGCCUACCCUGAGGCAUCAUGGGCAGCCACCAGCGUCUCUGCAUGUAGCCCAGGACCCUGUGGCCAUCUCCAGGGGGUGGGGGUCACAGUGUCGUGCGCGUGUCUGCACCUCAAUGCUGAGCACUUUCUAGAACUCUCAUAACUCUGGAUGGAUUGCACAUGUGACCUUCCAGGCAGUGUCCCAAAGCUCUGUGUGUGCUGGGUCCCUUAAUCUUACUACAAUCCAGUAAGGGAGGGACUGUGUGACCCCAGCUGCAAAGCAGAACACUGAGGCACAGGGGAGUGAAGCCCCCGGCCCGAUAACGAAGAGGAGGAGCAAGGAUGUGAGCAGACCUGCUGAGGUCUGGUGCGCUUGGCCACAAGCCAUGCUGGAAAAGCGCUUGGGCUGGAUGAGCGGAUGUGAGCAGCCCGCAGGGGGAGGGUGCCCACAGGUCUAGGCCCACCUGGUGAGGAGGCCACUCUGCUCGCUGUGGGUGGGCGGGAGGAGGAUUUUACAUGCUCCACCCUUUCCAUGGCGAAACACCCCUUCUUGUCCUCCCUCUCCCUGCCAGGCCCUGCAGUGACUGCUUUCUAUGCCUGAGACCUGCAGAGAGUGGGUCAAUAGGGCUGGGAACAAAGGCCCCCACUGAUGGGCAGAAUGGAUUUCUGUCAAUCUGCAACCAAAACAAUGGCUUUGCACGUGGGGUUUCCAUGGGCAGGAGCUAGCCUCUGUAGAGAGCGUGAAGGGUUUGCAAACACCGGACCUGAGGACCUGGAGCCCAAGAGUCACGGGAAGAGCUGGGAUCAUGGGGUGUCACCUUCUAAGCCAGUGGCUCUCAGAGAGGGUCCUAGGACCAGCCAUCAGCAUGACCCAGGAACCUUCUAGAAAUGCACAUUCUCCUAUCCCCAGCCUGGGACCCAACCCACCUCCCCAUUCCUGAGAGGAGAUCAGGGGAAAUGAGGAAAGCAGAGAAUGCUAAGGCCCCAAAAGCCCACCCAGAGAUGCCCCUCCUGGUCUGGAGAGAGUCAGUUUCUAGUCCAUCUGGCCAUUUGGAGGCUCAGGGAGGGGAGGACGUGUUGGUCUUGUUAAACACGGGACAGUGACCCACGCACCGUGUCACAGCCUGGAGGAAGUGAGGCAGCAGUCAGUGUGUCCUGGGGCCGAGGGCUCCCGGCACCCUGGACCCAGUGAGCUUCAAGAACACAGAGGGUCUGCAGCCCUCAGUCUGCACUCAUGGGCCCGGUGUGCCCUCACCACCUCCAGGGGGCCAGCAUGUGUAGCAGCGCCGUCUGGGAACUCCGGGUGUGGAAUGCAGGUGCCCUUUGGGGUGAUGAAUCCCAGGCAGGAUGCGGGUGCCCUGUGGGGUGUUGAAUCCCAGGCAGGAUGCGGGUGCCCUGUGGGGUGUUGAAUCCCAGGCAGGCUUUCCGGCUGCAUUGCUGGAAAGAGGCACCAGGAAGGCACUAGUGGCCUCGGCAAGGCUGCCCUGUGAAGCAGGAUGAGCAGCCUGGGGUGUGGUGUGUGGCACGUUGACCGCCCUGUGUGGACAGAGGCAGUGGGCAGCCAGGCCUGUGGGGUCCUGUGAUCCCUGUCCCCCUACACCUCUCACCUGUGAUUCUGCCAGCCUGCCAGGCCCCCUUCCUUCUCACCCAAACCUCCGCCCCUUCCCUGUUCCAGAGAGAAGCUGGGCUUUGGAAGGAGCUGCCGAGGAGAUGAGACCUUGCAGCUACCUGGCCUUCAGCAGCAUAUUCCCCAGAAAGGAGCAUUGGUUGAACUGGAGAAAGGCAAAUAAGAGAAACAGGCCCAAAUCCGUCAUGCAGGGUAAUGAGUUGGAUUUAUAGAAAAGGAAACACAAUAUGAUUCCGCGUAAUGGCUGUUGACAGAGAUUUGGGCUGUUUGUUCUAGGAUAUUAAAUUGACAAACAGCGAGGGUUGCUGGGCUCCCGUCUCCAAUUCGCAGGUGCCUGUCAAAAGGUAUGCGUUUCUGGGCACCAAUCAGAGGUGCAGAGAUUUCCAGAUAAGGAGAAUGUGCAGAACGGCCUAGGAGGCACAUGUGUGACCAAGAUCUGCAUUUCCAACGCCUCCCGAGAAACCCCGCGCCACAGAUGAGCUAAUCUGUGAAGGAAGCAGGGUGGAAAAGCUGCCUCUGUUGUUCCCAGAGAGAACAGGCCGCAUUUUUAAAAAUUUAAUUAAGGCCUUAGAUCAGGUUUGCGUAAUUAAAUUGCUGCUGUGAGUAAGCAGUGUGAUAGAUGAACUCCUCUCGGUGACACUCGGUGUGAGGUGAAAAAGGGCCCUCUGGCAGCUUCCUGGGUGAUCCUCAUGCUUUAAAUUCCACGCCUGCAUCUCAGAUGUGAAAAAUGCUCUCAUUCCAUGCAUUGUUUUGUUUUGUUUUGUUUUUCAAUCUCUGAAGAAUGUUCUCUUCAUGAGU